rnacentral:rRNA from 1 species
GAUGAACGCUGGCGGCGUGCUUAACACAUGCAAGUCGAACGGAAAGGCCCAAGCUUGCUUGGGUACUCGAGUGGCGAACGGGUGAGUAACACGUGGGUGAUCUGCCCUGCACUUCGGGAUAAGCCUGGGAAACUGGGUCUAAUACCGGAUAGGACCACUUCUUGGAUGUUGUGGUGGAAAGUUUUUUCGGUGUGGGAUGAGCUCGCGGCCUAUCAGCUUGUUGGUGGGGUAAUGGCCUACCAAGGCGUCGACGGGUAGCCGGCCUGAGAGGGUGUACGGCCACAUUGGGACUGAGAUACGGCCCAGACUCCUACGGGAGGCAGCAGUGGGGAAUAUUGCACAAUGGGCGCAAGCCUGAUGCAGCGACGCCGCGUGGGGGAUGACGGCCUUCGGGUUGUAAACUCCUUUCGCUAGGGACGAAGCGUUUUGUGACGGUACCUGGAGAAGAAGCACCGGCGAACUACG